rnacentral:rRNA from 1 species
GAUCAUGGCUCAGAUUGAACGCUGGCGGCAGGCCUAACACAUGCAAGUCGAACGGUAACAUGAAGAAGCUUGCUUCUUUGCUGACGAGUGGCGGACGGGUGAGUAAUGUCUGGGAAACUGCCUGAUGGAGGGGGAUAACUACUGGAAACGUUAGCUAAUACCGCAUAACGUCGCAAGACCAAAGAGGGGGACCUUCGGGCCUCUUGCCAUCGGAUGUGCCCAGAUGGGAUUAGCUAGUAGGG